CCUACGGGUGGCAGCAGUGGGGAAUAUUGGACAAUGGGCGAAAGCCUGAUCCAGCCAUGCCGCGUGUGUGAAGAAGGCCUUCGGGUUGUAAAGCACUUUCAGUGGGGAAGAAAGCCUUGGGGCUAAUACCCUCGAGGAAGGACAUCACCCACAGAAGAAGCACCGGCUAACUCUGUGCCAGCAGCCGCGGUAAUACGGAGGGUGCGAGCGUUAAUCGGAAUUACUGGGCGUAAAGCGCGCGUAGGCGGUCUGAUAAGCCGGUUGUGAAAGCCCCGGGCUCAACCUGGGAACGGCAUCCGGAACUGUCAGGCUAGAGUGCAGGAGAGGAAGGUAGAAUUCCCGGUGUAGCGGUGAAAUGCGUAGAGAUCGGGAGGAAUACCAGUGGCGAAGGCGGCCUUCUGGACUGACACUGACGCUGAGGUGCGAAAGCGUGGGUAGCAAACAGGAUUAGAUACCCGAGUAGUC
rnacentral:rRNA from 1 species